GGUAGUGACAAGAAAUAACAAUACAGGGCCUAACGGUCUUGUAAUUGGAAUGAGUUAAGUAUAAACCCCUUUACAAGUAGCAAUUGGAGGGCAAGUCUGGUGCCAGCAGCCGCGGUAAUUCCAGCUCCAAUAGCGUAUAUUAAAGUUGUUGCAGUUAAAAAGCUCGUAGUUGGAUUUCUGUUAAUACUUAUAUAUAAUACUACGGUAUUUAUAUAACAUUAACAUAAUUCACAUUACUUAUUUUAAGUAUGUGAAAUUUUACUUUGAGAAAAUUAGAGUGCUUAAAGCAGGCUAUUGCCUUGAAUACUCCAGCAUGGAAUAAUAUUAAAGAUUUUUAUCUUUCUUAUUGGUUCUAGGAUA
rnacentral:rRNA from 2 species